GCUCUCUGUCGCUGCUAUACAAAGUUUAUGUAUAAUUUCCUUGCAUAAUUUCUUCCCCCUACAAUCUGCCCAAUUUUUACGAACCGUUCAUUGAAUUAUUUAGGGGGGGGGGCAUGGAUUAUUUUGCAAUUUUUUUUAUUUUUUUUCGUGACGCCACCCUUAGUCAAACUUAGAUUUUUGGUUCCCCCUUAGCUUAAAAAUAAAUUUACGGUAACCCCUAUAAUUACCGUAUAUAGCAUCCAGUUUAGAAAAGACAUAAAAAUGGAUGUACCAUGUUGUUCACAGUGAAUGAAUAUCACAUGUAGCCUACUUUUUUG